AGCGAACGCUGGCGGUAGGCUUAACACAUGCAAGUCGAACGGCCCCCCAGUGAGAGCUCGCACUGACGGGUGACACGUGGCGACCUAGCGUUUGGUUCAUAAGAACUUACUUUUACGUGGGGGAUUACGUAGUAAAACUUACGCUAGUAACGCUUAUGACCUACAGGUGAGAGCACGGCUUCUUCGGACCUUGCGCGAUUGACUGAGCCGAAGUCGGAUUAGCUAGUGGGCGGGGUAAAGGCUCAACAAGGCGACGAUCCGUAGCUGGUCUGAGAGGAUGAUCAGCCACACUGGAACUGAGACACGGUCCAGACUCCUGCGGGAGGCAGCAGUGGGGAAUAUUAGACGAUGGGCGCGAGCCGGAUCCUGCCAUACCGCGUGAGUGAUGAAGGAGUUAGGGUGGGAAAGUCCUGUUGUUGGGAGAGAAAAGCAGCAGGUUAAUACCCCGCUGUUCUGACGGUACCCAAAGAAUAAGCACCGGCUAACUUCGUG
rnacentral:rRNA from 1 species